ensembl:lncRNA
UGCAAAUGUCUUUGUACCGGUCAAUCCGGAGGUCCAGAGCUGCUCCUCCUCAGAGUCUGUCUCUUCAGGUGAGCAGACUCACCUGGCCGGACUUCUCUCUCCUCUGACAACACACUGUUGUUCUUCUUCUUGGCUUUCUUUGGGAAAGCCUAUCUCUGAGUCAAAGUUCUACAAACAAAGAAAAAGAGGGGCAUUUACAAACAAGAAUGUGUUUGCAUUGAAUGUGUGUAACGGAAGCAAAAUGCACCAAAUUGACCAAUUCCUUAUCAUGUGUUUUUGAUACUCACGUAUGUGGCCACGGCUAAACGGAUGUCCGUCAAGCUUGGGGACCCGGGGAGGCCCAUCUCCCCCCAAGCAUAGAGGAGGGACGACAACACCUAUGAGGCCGAUGUGCGUAAAACAAACAUAAUUAACAACUCUCAGAGUGACACAAGAUAUACUCAUCCUAGUUCUGGAAACAUUGGACCCGAAGCUUGUAUGUGUUUUAAUUAUGUGUUUUAAUUAUGUUUGUAUUAUAAUUGAUAAUGCCUCAUUUGCAUUCCUUCUUAAAUGUUUUAUAUUGUUUUAUAGAUGCGUGUGCGUGUGUCUGUGUCUGUGUCUGUGUGUGUGUGUGUGUGUGUGUGUGUCUGUGUCUGUGUCUGUGUGAAUCUGUGUCUGUGUGUGUGUGUGUGUGCGUGUGUGGACAUAUACGUGUGCCUGUGUGCUUGUGUGCUAUGCACAUGUUUGGUGUGUGUGUGUGUAUGCUAUGCACUUGUUUGGUGUGUGUGUGUAUGCUAUGCACAUUAGUGUUAGUGCUGGGAGCUCUGUGUGUGUCUGUGGGACCCUCAGUGACCUUUAACAGCAGGCAGGCUUCUGGGGCCUACCUUGGGAGGUGUCUGUGCCUCUGGGCCUGUCAGUGACUUAAUACAACACACAGGGCAGUGCUGGGAGCUCUG